UACGUAGGGUGCGAGCGUUAAUCGGAAUUACUGGGCGUAAAGCGUGCGCAGGCGGUUUUGUAAGCCAGAUGUGAAAUCCCCGGGCUUAACCUGGGAAUGGCAUUUGGGACUGCAAGGCUUGAGUGCGGCAGAGGAGACUGGAAUUCCUGGUGUAGCAGUGAAAUGCGUAGAUAUCAGGAGGAACACCGAUGGCGAAGGCAGGUCUCUGGGCUGACACGUGACGCUCAUGCACGAAAGCGUGGGGAG
rnacentral:rRNA from 1 species